rnacentral:rRNA from 1 species
GGAAUAUUGCACAAUGGGCGCAAGCCUGAUGCAGCGACGCCGCGUGGAGGAUGAAGGCCCUUGGGUUGUAAACUCCUUUUGCAGGGGAAGAAAUGCGAUCAGGUGAAUAAUCUGGUCGCAUGACGGUACCCUGCGAAUACGCUCCGCCUAACUCCGUGCCCGCAGCCGCGGUAACACGGGGGGAGCAAGCGUUGUUCGGAAUCACUGGGCGUAAAGGGCGUGUAGGCGGUCAGGUAAGUGGGAUGUGAAAUGCCCCGGCUCACCCGGGGACCUGCAUCCCAAACUGCUUGGCUUGAGUAUGGGAGAGGAUGAGGGAAUUCCUGGUGUAGCGGUGAAAUGCGUAGAUAUCAGGAGGAACACCGGUGGCGAAGGCGCUCAUCUGGCCCAAUACUGACGCUGAGGCGCGAAAGCUAGGGGAGCAAAC